GACGAACGCUGGCGGCGUGCUUAACACAUGCAAGUCGAACGGAAAGGCCCUGCUUUUGUGGGGUGCUCGAGUGGCGAACGGGUGAGUAACACGUGAGUAACCUGCCCUUGACUUUGGGAUAACUUCAGGAAACUGGGGCUAAUACCGGAUAGGAGCUCCUGCUGCAUGGUGGGGGUUUGAAAGUUUCGGCGGUUGGGGAUGGACUCGCGGCUUAUCAGCUUGUUGGUGGGGUAGUGGCUUACCAAGGCUUUGACGGGUAGCCGGCCUGAGAGGGUGACCGGCCACAUUGGGACUGAGAUACGGCCCAGACUCCUACGGGAGGCAGCAGUGGGGAAUAUUGAAAAAUGGGCGGAAGCCUGAUGCAGCAACGCCGCGUGCGGGAUGACGGCCUUCGGGUUGUAAACCGCUUUCGCCUGUGACGAAGCGUGAGUGACGGUAAUGGGUAAAGAAGCACCGGCUAACUACGUG
rnacentral:rRNA from 1 species